GUGCUGCUGAGCAGCCAGAGGCCCCCAGGGAGGUGCUCUGCGUGCAGACCUCAGUGACUGCAGCAUCCCUGCGCUGGGCAGAGUGUGAGGUGUGGAUCCAGAGCUGUGCCGGGCUGGACCAGAAGGGCUCCCAGGGAAGAGCACCGGGCUUACAUCUCCUGCAUACACCCUGCCCCAUCGCCCACCCUGCCAUAACAGCCAGGAGCACCUGCUGCCCUGUCCUCAGAGCCGUGCAGCAGCCUCGCCACAAGGAACAACGUGAGGCCAGGCACAGUUUGUGGGGCAGCAGCUGUCCCCUAGAUGAGCUACGGCCGUGGGUGAAAGGAGGAUAACUCUGUAUGGGCAGUCACCCGACUUCUGCUGCGAAGUUGGGGCUUUGCCUCCAGCGAGCUCCUGCGGGCGUGCAAACUUGCGCUGAUCUUGCUGUGUGAAGAACGCUCUUUUUCCAGCU